GAUGAACGCUGGCUGCGUGCCUAAUACAUGCAAGUCGAGCGAACGGACGAGAAGCUUGCUUCUCUGAUGUUAGCGGCGGACGGGUGAGUAACACGUGGAUAACCUACCUAUAAGACUGGGAUAACUUCGGGAAACCGGAGCUAAUACCGGAUAAUAUUUUGAACCGCAUGGUUCAAAAGUGAAAGACGGUCUUGCUGUCACUUAUAGAUGGAUCCGCGCUGCAUUAGCUAGUUGGUAAGGUAACGGCUUACCAAGGCAACGAUGCAUAGCCGACCUGAGAGGGUGAUCGGCCACACUGGAACUGAGACACGGUCCAGACUCCUACGGGAGGCAGCAGUAGGGAAUCUUCCGCAAUGGGCGAAAGCCUGACGGAGCAACGCCGCGUGAGUGAUGAAGGUCUUCGGAUCGUAAAACUCUGUUAUUAGGGAAGAACAUAUGUGUAAGUAACUGUGCACAUCUUGACGGUACCUAAUCAGAAAGCCACGGCUAACUACGUGCCAGCAGCCGCGGUAAUACGUAGGUGGCAAGCGUUAUCCGGAAUUAUUGGGCGUAAAGCGCGCGUAGGCGGUUUUUUAAGUCUGAUGUGAAAGCCCACGGCUCAACCGUGGAGGGUCAUUGGAAACUGGAAAACUUGAGUGCAGAAGAGGAAAGUGGAAUUCCAUGUGUAGCGGUGAAAUGCGCAGAGAUAUGGAGGAACACCAGUGGCGAAGGCGACUUUCUGGUCUGUAACUGACGCUGAUGUGCGAAAGCGUGGGGAUCAAACAGGAUUAGAUACCCUGGUAGUCCACGCCGUAAACGAUGAGUGCUAAGUGUUAGGGGGUUUCCGCCCCUUAGUGCUGCAGCUAACGCAUUAAGCACUCCGCCUGGGGAGUACGACCGCAAGGUUGAAACUCAAAGGAAUUGACGGGGACCCGCACAAGCGGUGGAGCAUGUGGUUUAAUUCGAAGCAACGCGAAGAACCUUACCAAAUCUUGACAUCCUUUGACAACUCUAGAGAUAGAGCUUUCCCCUUCGGGGGACAAAGUGACAGGCGGUGCAUGGUUGUCGUCAGCUCGUGUCGUGAGAUGUUGGGUUAAGUCCCGCAACGAGCGCAACCCUUAAGCUUAGUUGCCAUCAUUAAGUUGGGCACUCUAAGUUGACUGCCGGUGACAAACCGGAGGAAGGUGGGGAUGACGUCAAAUCAUCAUGCCCCUUAUGAUUUGGGCUACACACGUGCUACAAUGGACAAUAUAAAGGGCAGCGAAACCGUGAGGUCAAGCAAAUCCCAUAAAGUUGUUCUCAGUUCGGAUUGUAGUCUGCAACUCGACUACAUGAAGCUGGAAUCGCUAGUAAUCGUAGAUCAGCAUGCUACGGUGAAUACGUUCCCGGGUCU
rnacentral:rRNA from 1 species